AUAUUUUGGAUAUACCGUGUUAAAAUGUGUUAUUAAAACUAAUGUCACAUAUUUCUUUUUUACUUUUUAAAGAUGGCUACUUAGAAAAUUUAAAAUCAUGCAUGUGACUUAGAUUUGUAACUUGUAUUAUAUUUCUACUGGACAGCGCUGCCCUAGACCAAAUCAUCUGAUUCAGCAGCUCAAAUUCUGAAGCUAGCAAUCUUAGCUGGAACAAGUACCAAAAAUCAGUUCUCAGCCUAAGUACGAAUCAGACGGUUAUUUGUAUUCUUGUAGUUGGAAAGGAACAAAACAACUUGGUCCAAAGGACUUCCUUGGUGAAAAUGAUUCACGUUUUCCAAAUGUCACCUGUUGAGUAUGCACACAAUCACAAAGACUACUUUAUAAAAAUGAAAAUUCUGGAGGCAACAUAGGUUCGUUUUGUGAAAAUAUUAGUCCUACCUGACUCACAACAUCAUUGGUUCAUGGGUAAGAGAAUUGCUUGGGGGCAGUCAUUAGACGAUGAUGAAUGGAGGGUGUGUGUGUUUGUGUGUGUGUAUGUGUGUGUAUGUGUGAAGACAGAUGUUUCUGACAUUCCUGUAAAUCUUCCACAAAUCAAAAUACCAGAGGAUUUCUCCAUUAGGUCUUGCUGGUGGAAGGAGUUUUUAAAUGUGAUACGAAAUAGGAUAACUACGGACCCAAUUGAAAGAAGGAAUCUCACGCCAAAAAGCUUGGAGAGGGAGAGAAGAAAGAGGAUUAUCAGCAGCAAUAUUAAGGUAGAGGCCACGUGAGAUAAAAUAUAGCACAUUACGUACCUCACACAGGUGUAUGCAAGAGACCUGUGCAAUAUGUAUUAGGGGUGCAAUGGUCGGUCAGGCAUGGCCUUUACCACAUGGAACGCACUGUAUGGUUGCUGGGGGUGGGAGUGUGAUAAACUUAUGCCAAUGGGUAAAAGUAGCCUGCAGUGUAGAACCCUAGUGGUGAAUUUGAAAGGGACAAAUAGAAUUAGUAAGUUACAGAAGUUCAAAGUUGGAAGACCCAGCUGAGGGGUCAGAGAAGAUUUCUGAGAGAAAGUUGCAUCCAAGUUGGUCCUUAAAGAUGAGCCCAUUCCAACAGGUUAGGGAGAGGAUCUUUGUGCACAAAGAAGCAAUUCUAGGAAAUAGGGCAAACCUACCUUAAAAAGCUUAAGCAUAAUCUGAAAUAAUUCAUGAAUGGUAAUGACUAGUGAAGAGAUAAACUUUUGUUUUGUUUUUGCUGAGGAAGACUGGCCCUGAGCUAACAUCUGUUGCCAAUUUUUCUCCUUUUUUACUUGAGGAAGAUUAGCCCUGUGCUAACAUCUGUGCCAAUCUUCCUCUAUUUUGUAUGUGGCUUGCCACCACAGCAUGGCUGACGAGUGGUAUAAGUCAGUGCCUGGGAUCUGAACCCGUGAACCCGGGCCGUCAAAGCAGAGCGUGCUGAACUUAACGGCUAUGCCAUGGGACUGGCACCAAGAUAAACUUUUGACAAUUAUUUUCAACGUAAAGCUGGGAUGAAGAUGCACAAAAAAGAUUUAAAAAAUUAAGACAAACGUGGCAAAAACAAAAGAAACCAAGAAAAAUAAAGAUAAGAAAAAUAAAACA
rnacentral:lncRNA from 1 species